rnacentral:rRNA from 1 species
ACGCUCGACACCUACGGGAGCAGCAGUGGGGAAUAUUGGGCAAUGGGCGCAAGCCUGACCCAGCAACGCCGCGUGAAGGAAGAAGGCCCUCGGGUUGUAAACUUCUUUUGUCAGGGACGAAGCAAGUGACGGUACCUGACGAAUAAGCCACGGCUAACUACGUGCCAGCAGCCGACGGUAAUCUGAGGCGGGCGUGGACGAAGGC